rnacentral:rRNA from 1 species
GCUGUCNGCUAUGGGAUGGCCCCGCGGUGCAUUAGCUAGUUGGUAAGGUAACGGCUUACCAAGGCGAUGAUGCAUAGCCGAGUUGAGAGACUGAUCGGCCACAUUGGGACUGAGACACGGCCCAAACUCCUACGGGAGGCAGCAGUAGGGAAUCUUCCACAAUGGACGCAAGUCUGAUGGAGCAACGCCGCGUGAGUGAAGAAGGUUUUCGGAUCGUAAAGCUCUGUUGUUGGUGAAGAAGGAUANAGGUAGU